rnacentral:lncRNA from 10 species
GAGCCACCGCGCCCGGCCUUUAUUCUUAUAUUCUAAAAAUGUUUAAUUAGAAAAGGUCUGUUCAUCAAUGGAUGAAUGAACAAAAUAUGGCCUAUAUACACAAUGGAAUAUUAUCCAGCCAUUAAAAAGAGUGAAGUUGGCCGUGUGUGGUGGCUCAUGCCUGUAAUCCCAGCACUUUGGGAGGCUGAGGUGGGCAGAUUGCCUGAGGUCAAGAGUUCGAGACCAGCCUGGCCAACAUGGAGAAACCCUGUCUCUACUAAAAAUACAAAAAUUAGCUGGGCGUAGUGGUGGGCACCUGUAAUUCCAGCUACUCGGGAGGCUGAGGUGGGAGAAUUGCUUGAACCCAGGAGGCUGAGGUUGCCGUGAGCGGAGAUCACACCACUGCACUCCAGCCUGGGUGACAGAGCGAGACUCCAUCUCAAAAAAAAAAAAAAAAAAAAGAGUGAAGUUGUGUUAUUUGCAGCAACAUGGAUGGAACUAGAGGUCAUUAUGUUAAGUGAAAUAAGGCAGGCAUAGGGAGACAAAUAGCUCAUGUUCUCACUCAUACGAGGGAGCUAAAAAAGUAGCUCUUAUAAAGAUAGAGAGUAGAUUGGUGGUUACCAGAGGCUGGGAAGGGUAGCAGGGAGAGGGGGAUGAAGAGAGGUCGAUUAAUGGGUACAAAUACACACUUAAAAGAAAUAAGACCUGGUGUUCGAUAGAUCAGUAGAGUAACUACAGUUAACAUUAAUUGACUGCACAUUUUAUGUUUGUUUUUGUUUCUGUUUGAGACAGGGUCUCCCUCUGUCACACAGGCUGCAGUCCAGUGACACAAUCAGGCCUCACUGCAGCCUCAACUUGCUGCACUCAAGCAAUUUUCCAGCCUCAGCCUCCCAAAUAGCUGGGACUACAGGUGUGCACCACCAAGCCUGGCUAAUUUCUGUAUUUUUCUGUAGAGGAGUUUCACCAUGUUGCCCAGGCUGGUCUCAAACUCCUGGGCUCAAGUGAUCUGCCCUCCUCGGCCUCUCAAAGUGCUGGGAUAACAGGGGUGAGCCAUCACACCCGGCCAGGAUAGAAUAAUUAAAAUAGCUAGAAGAGAAUAACUUGAAUGCUCCUAGUUAAGGUGAUGAAUAUCCCAAUUAUCCUGAUUUGAUUGUGUAAAUGUAUCAAGUUAUCCCAUGUACUCCGAAAUAUGAAUCUCUAAUAUGUAUCAAUUAAAAAAUAGUGCUCAGGCCAGGUGUGGUGGCUUAUGCCUGUAAUCUCAGCACUUUGGGAGGCCAAGGAGAGUGGAUCUUUUGAGGUCAGGAGUUCAAGACCAGCCUGGCCAACAUCGCGAAACCCCAUCUCUACUAAAAAUACAAAAAUUAGCCAGGUGUGGUGGUGCACACCUGUAAUUCCAGCUACUUGGGAGGCUGAGGCAUGAGAAUCACUUGAACUCGGGAGGUGGAGGUUGCAAUGAGCCAAGAUUCUACCACUGCACACCAGCCUGGGUGGUGAAGUGAGACUGUCUCAGAAAAACAAAAAAAAAAAAUAGUUCUCAUAUACUAAAAGCUGGAACAAUACAGAGCAGAUUAGCAUGGCGCCUGUGCAAGGAUGACACACAAAUUUGUGAAGUGUCUCAUAUGUAUUAAAAUUUUUUUAAUAUACAUUUUUAAAAAUAAAAAAAUAGGUAAACAGCAGUGGCUCACACCUGUAAUUCCACUACCUUGGGAGGUUGAGGCAGGAGGAUUGCUUAAAGCCAGGAGUUUGAGACCAGCCUGGGUAGUAUAAAGAGACCCCAUAUCUAAAAAAAAAAAUUUUUUUAAUUAGCCAGGUAUGGUGGCACAUGCCUGUAGUACCAACUACCCAGGAGGCUGAGGCAGGAGGAUUGCUUGAGCCCAGGAGUUUGAGGCUGCAGUGAGCUAUAAUUGUGCCACUGCACUCCAACCUGGGUGACAGAGCAAGACCCUAUCUCAAAAAAAAAAAAAAAAAAGAUAAAUAAAUAAAAUGACAGUCAAAUUGAAAAAAUAAAUAAAUAAAAUACCCCCCAAAACACACAAAAGGUCAACCUCAAUUUUUAAGUGAUCUAGCAAUACAAUGGAGCUAUGGCAUGGGACUCAUGGUAGCUAUUUUAACAACUGGAAAUGAUUCAGAUAAACUUUUGCAAAUGUAAUUAAAUACAUACUUUGCUUUAUUUGAUGGAUUUGUUUUUAAAAAUUUAGAUGUAAGCCAAAUUUAGCAAAAUAAAAACAUCCUAUUUACUGUUCAAUGCAAGCUUGUAUUCCUUGUGUAAAAUGGAAAAUCCUUCUGCAGUGUUGAUAUCUACUUUCUGAUUGAUUUGUCUUAAAGUUUGCAACUUUGAAUCCUUUCUCCUCUUUUCUCCUCUCAUUUUCUAUCCCUCUCCAACUUUUUUUGUGUGUUCACUCACUUACUUGAACAAAGUGCAUAUCCAAAUAAGUUACCUAAGAUUGAUUGCCAUAAAUCUGAAGCCUUUGGGCCAUAUUUUUAAAAUUAUUAGGCUGGGUGCGGUGGCUCACACCUGUAAUCCCAGCACUUUGGGAGGCAGUGGUGGGUGGAUAACCUGAGGUCAGGAGUUCAAGACCAGCCUGGGGAACAUGGUGAAAACCCAUCUCUACUAAAAAUACUAAAAUUAGCUGGGCACAGUGGGGCAUCUCUGUAAUCCCAGCUACUCAGGAGGCUGAGGCAGGAGAAUUCCUUGAGCCUGGGAGGCAGAGGUUGCAGUGAGCCAAGAUUGCACCAUUACACUCCAGCCUGGGUGACAGAGAGAGACUCCAUCUCAAAAAAAAAAAAAAAAAAACUCAAACUGCAACAAAAGCAAAUCUGCAGUCACAUCUUACUUCCUUGCUCUCAGGGUAUUUGGUCCCCACUGUGUCUGUUAUCCAGAAUAUCUAGCUGGACUCCCAGCAGCUACAGAAAAUUUUAGCGUUGGGCUGUUUUUUUUUUUUUAAGUCCAUCAUCCACUAUCCAGGAUUACUACAGUCAAAUGAAUAGACAUUCAUUGAGAACCUACUGUGUCCUUCCAGAGUUGUCCUAGAUUUUGUGGGAGACACAAAGAAUCAGAAUGACAGAGCAGUGGGACUUUGGAGCUGAAAGGGUCAUCAUAGUUUCAGUUCAGCCUCCUUGAUUUAGAGUUAAAGAACCUGAUAACCAGAGGUGUGUAGGGCCUCACUGAAAAGCCCACAUGUGGUCACAGAGCCAGGAGUGGAGCCUGCAGCUCUGGACUCUCACAUGGUUAUUUAUUACCUGAUUACAGGAACAUACUUAGGCGUUUGCUUCAUGGCAUGCACUGUGUAGGGCACUGGAGGUUCAGAAAUAAAAGCCUUCCGGGAGAAAGGUAAGGACUUUCCCUUCUGGGGAAAACAGGAGGCAAGUGAAAUCAGUGCAGUGGGGUUUUUUUUAUUGUUGUCAUUUUACGGUUUUUAUUUUUAUCUUUUGAGAUGGAGCCUUGCUCUGUCGCCCAGGCGGGAGUGCAGUGGUGCGAUCUCGGCUCACUGCAACCUCCAUCUCCCAGGUUCAAGCGAUUCUCCCACGUCAGCCUCCAGAGUAUCUGGGAUUAUAGGCUUGUGCCACCAUGCCUGGCUAGUUUUUGUAUUUUUAGUAGAUACGGGGUGUCAUCAUGUUCACCAGGCUGGUCUCAAACUCCUGACCUCAAGUGAUCCGCCCACCUCAGCCUCCCAAAGUGCUUGGAUUACAGGUCUUAGCCACCACACCCAGCCUAUUUUGUUUUUGAGACAGAGUCUUGUUCUGUCACCCAGGCUGGAGUACGGUUGCGUGAUCACGGCUCACUGUGACCUCAACCUCCCAGGUUCAAGUGAUCUCCUACUUCAGCCUCCCAAGUAGCUGGGACUACAGGCGUGUGCCACCACAUCCAGCUACUUUUUGUAUUUUUAGUAGAGACGGGUUUCUGUCACAAGUUGAGGCCAAGUCUGCGAAAUCAGUGACACUCCCCAAGGCACCCCCACAAAAAAAUCCCAAGAUACACUGUCCUCCUUCACCAGACCACUCUCUAUAUUUCAUUUUAUGCUGUGUCAACUUGAUAUCAAAAAAGGACUGUAAAAAUAUUCUUUACAAAAGAAACAAACAAACAAACAUGAGUUUUGCCAUGUUGGCCAGGCUGGUCUCAAACUCCUGUGCUCAAAUGAUCGACCCAUCUUGGCCUCCCAAAGUGCUGGGAUUACAGGCAUGAACCACUGUGCCUGGCCUUAUGAGGAUGAACUCAGGCGGCUGUGGAGGCCCAGGAAGUGCACCAAACACAAAUUCAAGGUGGGGAUGAGGCAAGGAAGCCUUCUGGGAGUAAGUAAUGCAAGACCUGAGUCUUGUGGGAUGGGUGAAAACAGGAAAAAGCCAAGUGAGGAAUGGUGUGUUACUUAUUACUGAAAGGGGAAUAAUAUACCCAUAUGCAAAUUAAGUUGCAAUAAAAUAAUAGAGGUGGUAUACCAAGGCCAUAUAUAGCUAACUUCCAAAUGAAUUGAAAACCAGUCAUUUUUCAUGGAAUUCAGAAGAGGAAUAUGUGGACAGAUUAAAAACAUGGGUAGAACAGAUGCUCCAAGUUGUUUGGUUACAUGGUUUUGGUUUUUCGUUUUCUGUCGCAGUAAGUCCCGUGGUGAGGGGAAGAACCCACUUUGGAGGUAGAAGAUAGGAAUCCCAGUUUUUCUGUGUACUGGACAAUAUGGCCUGUCUGUACACCAAGUAUAAUAAUGCUGAGCUCACUGGACGGAUGGUGGUGAUGAUUAAAUGAGAUGCCGAAGUUCUGAGUGCUCCAUUACGACCCAUCAGCUGUGAUGUGUCAUCCAUAUGUCAUUAGCAUAUAACCAUAUAAACCCAUCUUUAAUCAGAGCACUGGACUGUAAACACCCCCUCUGGUGUUUUCUUCUCAAUAAUCUAAGACUGUGUAGUAAGGAGAGAUUAUGAGGGAAUCUGUCAAGGAACCAAACACAUUUGCUCUAGGAGAAAAUGGCCAGUUCCUCAUGACCAAGGAAAUGCUGGGGCUAUUCUAUAUCUAUGUCUGUAUUUUAAUUUAAUUUAAUUUAAUUUUUUUAGAGAUGGGGCUCUUGCUAUGUUGACCAGGCUGGUCUUGAACUCCUGACCUCAAGCAAUCCUCCCAUCUUGGCCUCCCAAAAUGCUGGUAUUUAGGCGUGAACCAUGAUGCUCAGCCCUAUAUCUAUAUCUUUUUAGAGACAGGGGUCUCACUCCAUCACCCAGCCUGGAGUGCAGUGGUGUAGUCAUAACUCACUGCAGUCGCUACUUCCUGGGCUCAAGAGAUCUUCCUGCCUCGGCCUCUCGAAGUGCUGGGAUUAUAGGCAUGAGCCACUGCACUCAGCCCUAUAGUAUAUAUUAAUUAACUUUGUCUCUACUUGUGUUUUGUGUGUUUAGAUCACAUUGUCCCCUGCAUGUCCACAAAGAAGUUACAUUCCCAGUAUCAAACAGAAAAGAGAGUGCUAGUUUGGAGUUGAAGAACUCUCUCUCUCUCUCGCUCUCUGUGUGUACAAAUAGUGCCUGGGUUCAGGAGGCUGGCUCUGGAGGGCUGCUGCAUUGAUUUAAGCUAAGCUUUGUUGGAUGACCUUGGGCAAGUUACUUAACUGCUCCGUGCCUCAAUUUCUUUGCAAAAUAAGGAUAGUAAUUGUACCUAUGUCCUAGAGUUGUGAGGAUCAAGCGAGUUAAUUUUAUCAAAAGCCUAGCACAUAGUAUCAGUGAAUGUUAGUCAUUACUUUCUCCCCAUUGUUUGCACACUACUUAUGUAUCCUAAGGUGAACGUUUUUUUUACUAGAGCCAGAAAACUAUUGAUUGAAAUUGAUUUAAGCAAUCGUUUAUAUAUUUUAAACCUACAUAUGUUUUAAUAGGAAAAAAAAAAAACCCUAAUAUUUGCUUGGGAAGAAUUGUGGAAAAGACAAUUUUGGUAAAGACCAUUUUGCAGUUCUUGUCUUGAUAUCAAGUUGAUAAAGCAUAAAAUGAAAUAUAGAGAGUGGGCUGGUGACGGAGGACAGUGUAUACUGGGAUUUUUUUUUAGAGUCUUGGAGAGUGUCACUGACUUCACAGAUUUGGCCUCAGCUUGUGAGAAGUAGGUGUGGUUGGCAAAGCAUAGUAGGCAUCCUCAUGUACUCUGGGCUAUACAUGUAUCUCUCAUCUACAAACACUGAAGUUAUAUUUUCUUUUUCUUUUUUUUUUUGAGAUGGAGUCUCGCUCUGUCGCUCAGGCUGGAGUGCAGUGGUG